AGUGAACGCUGGCGGUAGGCCUAACACAUGCAAGUCGAACGGCAGCACAGUAAGAGCUUGCUCUUACGGGUGGCGAGUGGCGGACGGGUGAGGAAUACAUCGGAAUCUACUUUUUCGUGGGGGAUCACGUAGGGAAACUUACGCUAAUACCGCAUACGACCUACGGGUGAAAGCAGGGGAUCUUCGGACCUUGCGCGAUUGAAUGAGCCGAUGUCGGAUUAGCUAGUUGGCGGGGUAAAGGCCCACCAAGGCGACGAUCCGUAGCUGGUCUGAGAGGAUGAUCAGCCACACUGGAACUGAGACACGGUCCAGACUCCUAAGGGAGGCAGCAGUGGGGAAUAUUGGACAAUGGGCGCAAGCCUGAUCCAGCCAUACCGCGUGGGUGAAGAAGGCCUUCGGGUUGUAAAGCCCUUUUGUUGGGAAAGAAAAGCAGCAGGUUAAUACCCCGCUGUUCUGACGGUACCCAAAGAAUAAGCACCGGCUAACUUCGUG
rnacentral:rRNA from 1 species